AUGAACGCUGGCGGCGUGCCUAACACAUGCAAGUCGAACGGAGUCCAGCCUUUAAGACCUUCGGGUCAAAGAGGGGAAGACUGAGUGGCGGACGGGUGAGUAACACGUGGGCAACCUGGCUCAUAGAGGGGGAUAACAGAGAGAAAUUUCUGCUAAUACCGCAUAAGCACACACUGCCGCAUGGCAGAGGGUGAAAAGAGAAUCGCUAUGAGAUGGACCCGCGUCUGAUUAGCCAGUUGGCAGGGUAAGAGCCUACCAAAGCGACGAUCAGUAGCCGAUCUGAGAGGAUGAACGGCCACAUUGGGGCUGAGACACGGCCCAAACUCCUACGGGAGGCAGCAGUGGGGGAUAUUGCACAAUGGGGGGAACCCUGAUGCAGCGACGCCGCGUGAGUGAAGAAGUAUUUCGGUAUGUAAAGCUCUAUCAGCAGGGAAGAUAAUGACAGUACCUGAAGAAGAAGCCCCGGCUAACUACGUG
rnacentral:rRNA from 1 species